UACGUAGGGUGCGAGCGUUAAUCGGAAUUACUGGGCGUAAAGCGAGUGUAGGUGGUUGUCACAGUCAGGUGUGAAAGCCUUGAGCUCAACUCAAGAAAUGCACUUGAUACUAGGCGACUAGAGGACCGGAGAGGAUAGUGGAAUUCCCAGUGUAGUGGUGAAAUACGUAGAGAUUGGGAAGAACACCAGUGGCGAAGGCGGCUAUCUGGACGGUUUCUGACACUAAGACUCGAAAGCGUGGGGAGCAAACAGG
rnacentral:rRNA from 1 species